AUUGAACGCUGGCGGCAUGCUUUACACAUGCAAGUCGAACGGUAACAGGCCGCAAGGUGCUGACGAGUGGCGAACGGGUGAGUAAUGCAUCGGAACGUGCCCAGUCGUGGGGGAUAACUAUCCGAAAGGAUAGCUAAUACCGCAUACGAUCUGCGGAUGAAAGCGGGGGACCUUCGGGCCUCGCGCGAUUGGAGCGGCCGAUGUCAGAUUAGGUAGUUGGUGGGGUAAAGGCUCACCAAGCCAACGAUCUGUAGCUGGUCUGAGAGGACGACCAGCCAAACGGGGACUGAGACACGGCCCAGACUCCUACGGGAGGCAGCAGUGGGGAAUUUUGGACAAUGGGCGCAAGCCUGAUCCAGCAAUGCCGCGUGCAGGAAGAAGGCCUUCGGGUUGUAAACUGCUUUUGUACGGAACGAAACGGCUCUGGUUAAUACCUGGGGCUAAUGACGGUACCGUAAGAAUAAGCACCGGCUAACUACGUGCCAGCAGCCGCGGUAA
rnacentral:rRNA from 1 species